rnacentral:lncRNA from 1 species
GUCGAACUAGAUUUCCCGACGUCCAAAUCGCUUGGUUUUUCUUCUCCGAUCUUCUUGAGAAUGAGUCAAAGCUCCCUAUGUCCUUAAAAACUCCUAAAAACCUCACAAUAAUUAGUGCACGAAUAGUGCAUGAAAUAUGGGGUUAGAGUUCUCGGGAUUUUUGAAGCUUUCAAGUUCUAAGAAUAGCAUAUACGAACUCAGAAGCUUAUAAGGAGUU